rnacentral:rRNA from 1 species
ACCAGCAGCCACACCACCUGUAGUUCAGACAUGCAGAUCCACCUGAAGCUACGCAGGUUUGGGCCUGGCCAGCACUUCCAUGGGACACCAACUAGGAAAGUUAGGUGGCUGCUGGAA